AUAUGACAUCCAAGAGCAUCAGUAGAUCAUCACCCCGACUGUAUGGGACGCCAAAGGCCUGGCCAGGUGCUGCAGAGUAAGCUGCCUUCUCUCUGGAUUUCCUGGGAUCUCCCUCCACUGUUUCCUCAUUCCAGCGCUUCACACAGACCAUCAUCCUCUCGAUUCACAGCAAAACUUAGCAUCUUUGAUUAUGAAGCUUGUUCGGGUGAAAGAGGUGGCUGGAGAGAUGGCUCACCGGUUAAGAGCCCGAGGCUGCUCACGCAAAGAAGCCACAUUCGAUUCUCAGCAUCCA